rfam:Strongyloides ratti strain ED321 Heterogonic genome assembly, chromosome: 2
CCAAAAGCCCUCUUUAGGGCUACCAAAUUUAUAUACAUUAACUUAU